UGGGGAAUUUUGCGCAAUGGGCGAAAGCCUGACGCAGCAACGCCGCGUGAGUGAUGAAGGCUUUCGGGUCGUAAAGCUCUGUCAGGGGGAAAGAAGUGUAUUGUGGCUAAUAUCCAUGAUACUUGACGGUACCCUCAAAG
rnacentral:rRNA from 1 species